AGAACGAACGCUGGCGGCAUGCCUAACACAUGCAAGUCGAACGAGACCUUCGGGUCUAGUGGCGCACGGGUGCGUAACGCGUGGGAAUCUGCCCUUGGGUUCGGGAUAACAGUUGGAAACGACUGCUAAUACCGGAUGAUGACUUCGG
rnacentral:rRNA from 1 species